rnacentral:lncRNA from 1 species
UUGGUUUCCCAGGGGGCAGUGCUGAGCUCUUUGCCAGUGGGAAAUGGGAUGCUGGUGAUUUCCAGUAGGUGACCUCACAGUGACUCAAGCUACCACUUACUGUUGAUUGUGACGAAAUGCCAGCUGAGGCACAUGCCUUGGGAGCUAAGUGGUUGCUGCCCUUGACCACUGUGAAGACUGGUGUGGGAAGGGUCGUUUUGGAUGCACUUGAGCAGGGGUCCCCAACCCCUGAGCCAUGGAGCCGCAAGGAGCCACACAGCAGGAGGUGGGAACAUCCAGUUGCAGGAAAACAAGCUUAACACGCCCACUGAUUCUACAUUAUG